AUGUUUUUGAACUGUGUUUCACAUGGAACUAUUGAUGUUGUUCUGAACAAAGAAAAAAGUUUGCUUGGUAGGGUUUGAGUCCUUGUUAUUAUGAAAUUUAUAUUUCAGCAUCUUGAGAACUAUGACAUUUUAAACUCCUAGAACUUAUGAAGCAGAAUAAUAUUU